UACUAAAAAAUAGGUUAGAAAAUAUGCGGAAGGAAAAAAUCGAAGGGAUCAUUACCAGAGCAAAGGCUAAAUGGUACGAGUGUGGUGAAAAGUCAACUGCGUAUUUUUUGGGCUUGGAAAAACGAAAUUUCGUUAACAAGUUAAUACCUUUCCUUUCGGUUGGGACGGAGAGGGUAACUGAACAAAGUCAGAUUAUUCAGAGAUUGGUAGAACAUUUUAGAAAUUUAUUCAAGGAAAGGCCAGUGAAUGAAUUGGAAAUGGAUAGCUUUAUAAAUACGCUUAGUGUUAAGAUAAUAUCUGAAAAACAGAAGAAGGAUUUAAGUGCACCGAUAACCAUAGAUGAGAUUAGCUUAACGCUUAAGAAAAUGAGCAAUGACAAGUCACCAGGCCUAGAUGGGUUUCCAGCAGGUUUCUUUAAAUUCUUUUGGGCUGAUUUAAAACAUUUUUACUUCCGUAUGGUUCAAGAUAGCCUUCAAAAUGGUAUGUUGCCAUUGUCCCUGCGUGAGGGAUUAAUAACGCUUCUUCCUAAAAAUAAAAAGCCAAGGCAUCAAAUAAAUUCAUACCGUCCAAUUACCUUACUUAACUGUAGUUAUAAAAUAGUGUCCGGUGCAAUAGCGAAUAGGCUGAAAUCGGUUGUUGGGAGCGUAGUUGGGAGUGAACAAACAGGUUUUAUUCAGGGGAGAUUUGCUGGUGAUAAUACUCGACUGACAUAUGAUUUGUUGCAAUACUUAAAAGAGAACGGACGGUCGGCGCUUUUUCUUAGCCUUGAUGUUGAAGGUGCGUUUAAUUCCGUAAAUUGGACUGUUACCGCAGCAGCCGCAGAGGGCGCUGGCGAGCCAUUGUAGAGGGCAUCACCGUCCAGUCAUGGCCUCGGUUGUGCCGUGAGAUAUCAGCUGAUCGUUACGUGGCUAACAGAUGAUCGAUGCGCAGAGGUCAAACGGGUCAAGCGGCGCAAUGGAGGAAUGGUGUUCGCUGGAGACGGGUCCAGCAUCUGGCCUCCCUCUUCUGGACCAGAUGGAGGAGAGAGGUGCUACCGACGCUGCAGGAACGCAGGAAAUGGACUCGCGCCGUACCGAACAUCGAAGAGGGCGACAUCGUCCUGGUCGCCGACGACAGCGUUCCAAGGAAUAGCUGGCCGCUGGGACGUGUCAUCAAGACGUACCCCAGUGCAGACCGCCUCGUGCGGAGUGUGCAGAUCCGGCUGGGCAAGGACGGUGCAGUGUACGACAGGCCCAUUCACUGCCUCGUGCCAAUGGUAAAGGCAGAUAGCCGGAAGUGAACAGUAGAGAACCCGGGAGUCCCUGUCGGGGAGCCUGAUAUACUGUGGUGGGAAACUGUGGUUUCCUGUGUGUGCUGUGGUUGUGAUUGGAAAUUUGGGCGUCCCCAAAUUUCGGGGAGCCAUGUUACCGCAGCAGCCGCAGAGGGCGCUGGCGAGCCAUUGUAGAGGGCAUCACCGUCCAGUCAUGGCCUCGGUUGUGCCGUGAGAUAUCAGCUGAUCGUUACGUAGCUAACAGCUGAUCGAUGCGCAGAGGUCAAACGGGUCAAGCGGCGCAAUGGAGGAAUGGUGUUGUAAGUGUCUUUUAUUAUUAUUUAUAUUGAUUUAUGUGUCGUUUUGUAUUCAUUUAACAUCUGCUUAUUUUCUGGCUUCUAAUAUCGACUGUUUUCUUUCAGAAUUACGUACGAAUAUACAGCUACAAACUGAC